AUUGAACGCUGGCGGCAGGCUUAACACAUGCAAGUCGAGCGGAGAUGAGGUGCUUGCACCUUAUCUUAGCGGCGGACGGGUGAGCAAUGCUUAGGAAUCUGCCUAUUAGUGGGGGACAACAUUCCGAAAGGAAUGCUAAUACCGCAUACGUCCUACGGGAGAAAGCAGGGGAUCUUCGGACCUUGCGCUAAUAGAUGAGCCUAAGUCGGAUUAGCUAGUUGGUGGGGUAAAGGCCUACCAAGGCGACGAUCUGUAGCGGGUCUGAGAGGAUGAUCCGCCACACUGGGACUGAGACACGGCCCAGACUCCUACGGGCGGCAGCAGUGGGGAAUAUUGGACAAUGGGGGGAACCCUGAUCCAGCCAUGCCGCGUGUGUGAAGAAGGCCUUAUGGUUGUAAAGCACUUUAAGCGAGGAGGAGGCUACUGAGACUAAUACUCUUGGAUAGUGGACGUUACUCGCAGAAUAAGCACCGGCUAACUCUGUGCCAGCCGCCGCGGUAA
rnacentral:rRNA from 1 species